ensembl:lncRNA
AGACAUGAUGAAGUUCAAACAACCAUCAGCAAACUGAUUGUGGAAAUAAUAAUAUCAUCACCAUCAUCUGCUCAUGAAAUACGAAUGGCUCUGUUAUUCUGUCUGACGGGAUUUUAGGUUAUAGAGACAAAGGAUUCAUCCUUCAAAAUUUAUAUACAGAAGAACACAUCAGAGUUAGAGAAAUUAGGAACAUGGAAUAUCUCUCCAUCUGUUUGUGUCAUCUUUGAUUUCUUUCAUCAGUGUCUUAUAAUUUUCUUAGGAACCUUCACUAAACAGAAAGUAAAACUUAAGUUCCAAACACCUUGGCAUGUUCCAAGAUGGAAUGCAAAUAGCAAGGAAGAUCAUGAGUUGUUUACAGGUGCUUCCCCAGUGGUUCAGUAGUAAAGGUCCACCUGCAUAAUGCAGGAGCUGUAGGAGACCUGGGUUCAAUCCCUGGGUCAGGAAGAUCCCCUGGAGAAGGAAAUGGCAACCCACUGCAGUAUUCUUGCCUGGAGAAUCCCAUGGACAGAGGAGCCUGGUGGGCUACAGACCAUAGGCUUCAGAUGCGACUGAAGUGACUUAGCAGUGGCAGUGCUUACAGAAUCUUAGUUUCCUGGCCACGGAUUGAACACAGGCCAUGGCAGUGCUGAGUCCUAACCACUGGACCAUCAGGAAAUUCCCAAGAAGGGAUAAAGUUAAAACAGUUCUUAUGCAUAUAACACCAAGAAAAGCUUUAAUAUGCAGAGUACAUCAUGAGAAACACUGGGCUGG